rnacentral:tRNA from 1 species
GUGGGAUUAGCUCAGUUGGUUAGAGUGCCAGAUUGUGGCUCUGGAAGUCGUGGGUUCAAUUCCCAUAUCCCACCCCA